rnacentral:rRNA from 1 species
GGGCCCGCACAAGCGGAGGAGCAUGUGGUUUAAUUCGAUGAUACGCGAGGAACCUUACCCGGGCUUAAAUGGGAGAUGACUGAAUAGGAAACUAUUUUUUUCGUAAGACAUCUUUCAAGGUGCUGCAUGGUUGUCGUCAGCUCGUGCCGUGAGGUGUCGGGUUAAGUCCCAUAACGAGCGCAACCCACAUAUUUAGUUACCAGCACGUAGUGGUGGGGACUCUAAAUAGACUGCCUACGCAAGUAGAGAGGAAGGUGUGGAUGACGUCAAAUCAGCACGGCCCUUACGUCCGGGGCUACACACGUGCUACAAUGGUCGAGACAGAGGGCAGCGAGCUGGUGACAGUAAGCGAAUCUCAGAAACUCGAUCUCAGUCCGGAUCGGAGUCUGCAACUCGACUCCGUGAAGUUGGAUUCGCUAGUAAUCGCGCAUCAGCCAUGGCG